AUGCACACCUCUGAUUCCCCGCCGGCUACACCGGCCAGCCAUCCUGUUCAACUGUUGGGAUCUCCUUCACAAGUCCACCGUCUCGUUUCUGACCACCGCCCUGAAGUCCAGAUCCGCCGCCACAGAAAUUUAGAUCUCACGGUGAAGACAAAUGAAAAAGAUGACAAAAUGGAGGAUGAGAAUCAAAGGAACAUGAGAGUGGCUUUUUGGGUUUUACCAUAUGUCAUGAUAAGGAUUGUGCUAUUUGCUUUUGUGAUGUAUUAA